rnacentral:lncRNA from 1 species
CACCAGUGUCCCUGACUUCAAUCCAGCCUGAAGGCCAGAGCAGUGGUGACAGCUGAGGCCCUGAGUUCAGUUGGAGAGAAGACACCCAAGCCCCCCAGAUGUCCCCGAGGAAGGUUGAACAUCCCCAACCUGAAAAUCCAAAAUGGGAAAUGUUCCAAAAUGCAAAACAUUUUGAGUGUCGAUAUGAUGCCGCAGAUGAAAAAUGCAACACCUGACCUCAUGUGAUGUGUCACAGUCAAAACUCAGGCACACAACGCACAGUUUCUUCAGUGUCCCCAAGGGACGACAGAUCCUCCCAGCCAGGUUUAGUGGUGAUGUAUCUUUUCUGAGCAUGCCCAGAUUUCCUCAUGUAAGCAAGCACACAAAGGAUAACUACCUGACAGGUGUGCAGGCUGGAGGCACCAACAGCAGAUUCUCCAUGAUGCCUCAUGUGGGGCCAAGACCUUCACGCAUUCUUCACAGUUUAUUUGCUUAUUCUCUGCUCUGCGAUGUAAAGACAUUGAUUAAAAUGUCAGUAAGGCCUUCAGAUACCUGCAUGGAUAAGAAUGAUAAGAAAAAGAGGAAAAGGGAAAACCAUAUGGGCAGCUUUAUGAGAGUG